UACAGAGGUCUCAAGCGUUGUUCGGAUUCAUUGGGCGUAAAGGGUGCGUAGGUGGCGCUGUAAGUCGGGUGUGAAAUUUCGGAGCUUAACUCCGAAACUGCAUUCGAUACUGCGGUGCUUGAAGACUGGAGAGGAGACUGGAAUUCAUGGUGUAGCAGUGAAAUGCGUAGAGGUCAUGAGGAAGACCAGUGGCGAAGGCGGGUCUCUGGACAGUUCCUGACACUGAGGCACGAAGGCCAGGGGAGCAAACGGG
rnacentral:rRNA from 1 species